rnacentral:rRNA from 1 species
UACGAAGGGGGCUAGCGUUGCUCGGAAUCACUGGGCGUAAAGGGUGCGUAGGCGGGUCUUUAAGUCAGGGGUGAAAUCCUGGAGCUCAACUCCAGAACUGCCUUUGAUACUGAAGAUCUUGAGUUCGGGAGAGGUGAGUGGAACUGCGAGUGUAGAGGUGAAAAUUCGUAGAUAUUCGCAAGAACACCAGUGGCGAAGGCGGCUCACUGGCCCGAUACUGACGCUGAGGACGAAAAGCGUGGGGGAGCAAACAGG